UACGGGGGGGGGCAAGCGUUGUUCGGAAUUACUGGGCGUAAAGGGCUCGUAGGCGGCCAACUAAGUCAGACGUGAAAUCCCUCGGCUUAACCGGGGAACUGCGUCUGAUACUGGAUGGCUUGAGGUUGGGAGAGGGAUGCGGAAUUCCAGGUGUAGCGGUGAAAUGCGUAGAUAUCUGGAGGAACACCGGUGGCGAAGGCGGCAUCCUGGACAAAUACUGACACUGAGGCGCGAGAGCGUGGGGAGCAAACAGG
rnacentral:rRNA from 1 species